GUUUCAGCAGCCGCGGUAAUACGGAGGGUGCGAGCGUUGUCCGGAAUCACUGGGCGUAAAGGGCGCGUAGGCGGCCGUGUAAGUCACUUGUGAAAUCCCGGGGCUCAACUCCGGGGCUGCAGGUGAGACUGCAUGGCUAGAGCUCGGUAGAGGCAAGUGGAAUUCCCGGUGUAGCGGUGGAAUGCGUAGAUAUCGGGAAGAACACCGGUGGCGAAGGCGGCUUGCUGGGCCGUAGCUGACGCUGAGGCGCGAAAGCGUGGGGAGCAAACAGGAUUAGAAACCCGCGUAGUCC
rnacentral:rRNA from 1 species